UGUUGGGAUGGGUAAGGUUGAGGUGGCCGAUCAGCGCGGCCGCGGCCGCCGCCUCGCGCCGCACCGCGGUGCCGCCCUCACGCCCGGCGACC
rnacentral:tRNA from 1 species